rnacentral:rRNA from 1 species
UACGGAGGGUGCAAGCGUUAAUCGGAAUUACUGGGCGUAAAGCGCACGUAGGUGGUUUGUUAAGCUAGCUGUGAAAUCCCCGGGCUCAACCUGGGCACUGCAGUUAGAACUGGCAAGCUAGAGUAGGGUAGAGGGGUGUGGAAUUCCAGGUGUAGCGGUGAAAUGCGUAGAUAUCUGGAGGAACAUCAGUGGCGAAGGCGACUACCUGGCCUGUUCUUGACGCUGAGGCGCGAAAGCUAGGGGAGCAAACGGG